AUUGAACGCUGGCGGCAGGCCUAACACAUGCAAGUCGAGCGGAUGAAGGGAGCUUGCUCCUGGAUUCAUCGGCGGACGGGUGAGUAAUGCCUAGGAAUCUGCCUGGUAGUGGGGGAUAACGUCCGGAAACGGGCGCUAAUACCGCAUACGUCCUGAGGGAGAAAGUGGGGGAUCUUCGGACCUCACGCUAUCAUAUGAGCCUAGGUCGGAUUAGCUAGUUGGUGGGGUAAAGGCCUACCAAGGCGACGAUCCGUAACUGGUCUGAGAGGAUGAUCAGUCACACUAGAACUGAGACGAGGUCCAGACUCCUACGGGAGGCAGGAGUGGGGAAUAUUGGACAGUGGGCGAAGGCCUGAUCCAGCCAUGCCGCGUGUGUGAAGAAGGUCUUCGGAUUGUAAAGCACUUUAAGUUGGGAGGAAGGGCAGUAAGUUAAUACCUUGCUGUUUUGACGUUACCAACAGAAUAAGCACCGGCUAACUUCGUG
rnacentral:rRNA from 1 species